UUUUCUUUUUUUCUUUUUUUUUCCUUUUUUUUUCUGGUGAUUGCUUGAAGGUCUGAUCACAUUAAAUAGGAAGCUUGGCUCUUACAGCACUGGUCCCACCAAACCUUUUUCUCUUCCAAGGCAAAAUUUGGCCUUCAUGCUCAUGUGGACCCAUGCUACUACCUUUGAAGAUCAGCACUGCUAGUACAAGGAGGCAACUCCACUCUUCAUGAACAAGGGCAGCACACCUCCUGUACCAGCCAAAUGGUAGUUCAAGGGUGGAUGAAGGUGUGCCAUAGCUGGUUAUCCCCACGCCAUAUCUGAGUAAUUGACUCGCAGAUUUUGCACUCAGCCAUCCUAUGUUGCAGUUUGGACCACUUCUCCAGUUUUUCAAGAUGGCCUCUGGAGAAGCUUCCUUAUCCUGAAGUAGCACACAGCAGAAGAGCCAUGGAGCAUGGUUCUUUCUAGCCCGAGCUGCAGCAUGAGGCACAGAAGGGGCAGGACACAGGAAAGGAGAUGCUGUUACAGUACCAGGGUAUUCAGGAGUGGCAGAAUGGAAAGAAGAGACCAUCUUGUACUAUCCAACAGGAUAUUUUGUUAAAACUGACAUGGGGAUUGCCAAUGCCUUGCUUUCAAAACUGGGACGUUAAAAAGUACUUCACAUUAGGACAGCGUUUAUUUUGUUCUUCAGUGGAAAAAGUGAAACAUUCCUUAAUCAGCGAGGAAGCAUGCUUUCUGCAUACCCCUGCACAAAAUUUGGUAUGAGUUCAACAAAUGACAAUUCAGCUGCUGAAGCAUAACCAACUUGGACUGCUUUAGAGGUCUGUAUUUCACUUAUUCCGCUAUCUGUUUUAUUAUCCACUCUGCUAAGCUAAAUAUAGAAAGAAAGUAGGGAGAAGAAGUCAACAGUUCUGUAAGCCUAGAAAUGAUAGUCAAGAACAGCUAUGAUGAAGUUAAAAUUGUAUAUACUUAAACCAAAACAAAGCAUAUGUGUUGUAUUUCUGUAGAGCUUUCCAUCUGAGGAUCUCAAUCGUUUAUCCCAAUGAGCUUAAUGAAGGUAUGAGUUCACUGUAUACUGCAUACUGGGUAAUAUGCCAGAAGAAUAGCGCGUUUAAAAAGCUGGCAUUAUCUUAAGAGGUCUGUUUACAAAGAUACUUCAGGUUUAGUUUUUAGCCAUGAGUAUGUAAUGCGUAACUUUUUGAUGUUUCUCCUGAACUCUUCUCUUUUUCUUUCUCCAAGUUUGAUCACCUCUUUCUCUAUAGCCUCUCUGUUGAGGAGUUCGUCUGGCUUUUUUACUUGAAUCACUUACCUCUGUCCUUGCUGAGGUGAACUACAGACAAUUCUGUGCAGGAUCCUGACUUUUGUUGCCAGGCCAUUGAAGUCUUGCUGUUAUGUUGACCAGGCCAUUAUGUUGACCAGGGAAACUUGCUUCCGUUCUUGCUCCCAAGGAUAUAGGUGAGUGAUGUCUGAAGAGCAAUGAAGAACAAGUUCUGUUCUUCCAGGACUAGACUGGCAGUAGCAGGGACCAGUACAAUUUAAAUAGUUCUCUACUGAAAUACAGCUUCAGAAAUGUAGGGAAUUA
ensembl:lncRNA